rfam:Ictidomys tridecemlineatus contig024906, whole genome shotgun sequence.
GGGGGUGUAGCUCAGUGGGAAGAGCACUUGUGCCUAGUGCACACAAGAACCUGGAUUCAUUUCCCAGCACCCGCC